CGCGUAGGCGGUCCGACAAGUCAGGGGUGAAAUCCUGCAGCUUAACUGCAGAAGUGCCUUUGAUACUGUCGGUCUUGAGGGAAAUAGGGGUGUGCGGAACUUCCAGUGGAGCGGUGAAAUGCGUUGAUAUUGGAAGGAACGCCGGAGGCGAAAGCGGCGCACUGGAUUUCUUCUGACGCUGAGGCGCGAAAGCUAGGGGAGCAAACG
rnacentral:rRNA from 1 species